AGGUCAUUUUGAGGGAAAUUUAUUAGUAACCGUUUAUAAUGCUCCCAUGCCUCAUAAAGUGACUCACGUAGUUGUUGCUCAAAGUUGGCUAUUGCCUUCGUGAAUUU